rnacentral:sRNA from 1 species
UGUAUACGUUUGGAUGAUUUGCAAUUGC